rnacentral:rRNA from 1 species
UAAGUCCCGCAACGAGCGCAACCCUUAUCCUUUGUUGCCAGCGGUCCGGCCGGGAACUCAAAGGAGACUGCCAGUGAUAAACUGGAGGAAGGUGGGGAUGACGUCAAGUCAUCAUGGCCCUUACGAGUAGGGCUACACACGUGCUACAAUGGCGCAUACAAAGAGAAGCGACCUCGCGAGAGCAAGCGGACCUCAUAAAGUGCGUCGUAGUCCGGAUUGGAGUCUGCAACUCGACUCCAUGAAGUCGGAAUCGCUAGUAAUCGUGGAUCAGAAUGCCACGGUGAAUACGUUCCCGGGCCUUGUACACACCGCCSGUCACACCAUGGGAGUGGGUUGCAAAAGAAGUAGGUAGCUUAAC